AAUUAUGAAUCUGAUUAGCGUUAACUGAAAGACUCAUAAGGUCUUCGAGUUCUGUCAAACGUCCGUCCGCUGGCGUCAUUCAAAGAAUGCUAAGUGCGCGGCGAGCAGUGUUUAACUGAGUUCGAUAAAUGAUGAACGUUUUGCAGGUUAAGAGUAGCGUAACGUGCGACUGUCCGUCAUGGUGAAAUUUUCUGUGCUAAGGCCAACGGGUUGAUUAUAUUAUUGUUUGGUGCUUUGUUUCCAGGAACGGUUAAGCCUUCAGUGACUGAGGCGAAUUUUAAUUUUGAUAUUGAAUCUAUAGUUGUGUAUCGUGUAUGGCGUUGCCACAUUGCCGUGACCAGGAUUCGAACCUGGGUUACUACGGCCACAACGUAGGGUCCUAACCACUAGACGAUCACGGCUAUUGGAAGAAUUGAGAAUAAUGAAAGUCAAUUCAUUGAAGUACUGCUCGAAUUACAUAAAUCGUCAAAUCCUUGUGUAAUUGAUUAGUUUAGUGAAAGUAGUUAUACUUGAUGUAUAAGUGAACAAUAAAACGACAAUAUCUUAAAUAUAAUAAAUAUUUAACUGAAUCAAAUUUAAA